UAAAUCACAAUGCGGGACUAUCAGUCUUGCAAUUGGAUUGAGAACAAUGUACAACUCUUAUCGAUAAGCCAUUGGAGGGCAAGUCUGGUGCCAGCAGCCGCGGUAAUUCCAGCUCCAAUAGCGUAUAUUAACGUUGUUGCAGUUAAAAAGCUCGUAGUUGAAGUGUGGGUGAUCGCUGUUGUGAGACUUCGGUCUCUCGACAGUAAGUCACCCCCUUCCAGUAUCCAGUAGUGGGUAUUCACUUACUUACUAUUGUGUGUUGGUCGUUUACUGUGAGAAAAUUAGAGUGUUCAAAGCAGGCGUUUGCUUGAAUAGAUUAGCAUGGAAUAAUAAUUGAAGGCUUUCGUGUUCGAUUUGAUUGGUUUGUUCAUGGAAGCAAGGUUAAAAGGAACAGUUGGGGGUAUUCAUAUUCACUAGUUAGAGGUGAAAUUCUCGGAUUUAUGGAAGAUGAAC
rnacentral:rRNA from 1 species